rnacentral:lncRNA from 1 species
AGUGGCCUGCCCACCCUGCCCCCAUCCCAGCAAGCUCAAAGCCCCGGCACCCCUCACCUUCAUAAACAAACACCCAGGGACAUAGCCUACCCUCACAAACCUACAAUAAACACAACCACUCUCAGCCGCAGACACUCCCGCCCAGGUCUGCAGGAAUAAGGAAGAGACUUUCAAUCCUGCCUCUGAGGCCACCAGGUUUGGUCCCUACCCCUCUCUGGGCCUCAAUUUCUUCACCUGUAAGAUGGCGGAGGUGCAGAGAGCUGGGAAGGGUGCUGAUCUUCAGCGACUGUUUCUACCUCUCGCCUGGAAAGUCGGUCUCCCAGGUACCGGAACCCGCCCCUCCUACAGGUCUGGUCACUGGCCUUCCUAGGGCCAAGAUGAGGCUGGCCUCAGAGCGCCGGGCGACACAUAGUAGGAUCGCCGGGCAAGGCGGGCACAGAUGUCCGCAGGUGCUCCGAGUGGGGGUGGGGGUCUGGUCCCGGCCGGCCCGCCAAGAGUGACUAACGCCCGCGAGGUGCGGUGCGCUCCGUUCGGUCACACUGCCCCUCCACCCCCAAUCCGGGGAGGCCGAGACAGAUUCCGUCUAAAGGAGAUCGCGGCUCAACAGGUCCGCGGACCGCGCUGUCCCUGCUGCGUAUUGGCUCCGCGCCCCUCCGGAGGAUCUCUGGCUCCGGGGGGGCUCGGUUGAGUCUCAACGAGGCUGGGUUGAGGGCCGGAGAUACCAGCCAGCCUGGCCACUUCAAGAAACGCCCUCCCCCACCAACUCCUAUCCCCAGGUCCGCUGGAGGAGGCUCUGGUGGCUGCCGGCUCCCCGUCUGCAGCCCCCCGCCCAGAGAAAUACUCACCCGAGCUUCACGUAGAGGACGCCAAAGCAGAGAAACACGCAUCUUUCCCCUAGACGUUACCUACGUGGGUGCUUCCAGGGCCACAACUCCGGAUCAGGCAUUGUUACCUGCCCAACAAACUCGGGGAAAACUCGUUCCAGUGCCCGGCACUGCAGAGCGCAAGCAGAGCGUGGGACUUGAGACUGGUAGACACACCAGCCUGCCCAGCAUUAAAAGUGGCACCAUGACAGAGAGACUCAGAAAGGCAUCCUUGGAGAGUCCCAGUCUGAGGAUUCUGUCUCACUCUGCAGGCCUGUCCGAUGCGGGCGGGUGUCAGAUCUGAUUCUUGUUGAACCGCUAAAGUGGGAAGUCAGACUGGCCUAGGUGCCUGGCACAUCCUGUGGUGUGUCUCGCUUGAUCCUAUCCUGGAUAAAUGGGUGACAGGGACACUGCCUGUCACAGCUAGGUCUGUCUUAGCACAGCGGACCAGCUAGUAACCAGACACAUGGUGGGUGGGUGGGGGGUGUGUGCCAGGUUUUCAAGCGUCUACAGCCCCGGACAGCAGCAUCAAAUGGCGCCCUUAUGACAAGGGGAUGAACUCGGAGGGCGCUCGUCUUUAAACUGGCCAACACCCAAUUGCCUGGUGUGGAAAUGAGGAGGGGUAUGAGGGGGCGCUGUCCUCAGCCCGGAACCUCGAGCUCAAAAGCUACCGUCCCUGCCCCUAAUCCCCUCUUAAUCUCUCCAAAUCCUCUGAACUUUUGCCACGACCCGACCCGGGAGAGAGAGAGUCGCUCCUGAACCCCAGGUCCAGAAGCCGGCAGGUGCAGCUGUGCAGAUCGUUUUGAGUUGGAGGACUCUUUAGAAAGGAGAAUUUGGACAUCACAAGCAGGGAAACUAAGGCACAGAUGUCAAACGGUAGUUGCAGUCCCACACCACUGUCCCCUGAAACCAAGAACUCUGGAUGUCGCACAACUUGGUAGGCAGGGAGCUGAGCUGGGCCAGGUGGCUGGGAGCAAGCAGAACAGCCUGGUAGCUUGGCAGGUGGAUGCUGCCAUCCCGUGGCGACAGGGAGCAACGCUUGCCACAAGAGCUGGACUUGAAAUGGUUAGGGAUUCCUCACUUUGCCUUGGAGUCUGGGGGCUAUUCCACCGUCCCCACCAACAACCCCUGUCUUGGGGUCUGUUAGUGAGACAAAAUAUUUAUGUGGCUGCAUCGGGGCUGGAAUAGCAACAGCAUCCACGCGUGCCUCCUCCUCCCUGCAAACAAACAAACAAACAAACAAACACCAAACAAUCCUGGGGUCUUAAGAUUCCUAGCCCAUCUCCAGACCUGUCAGAUCGGGAGGCCCAAGAUAGGGUUGGCCUUGGGAUUCUCUAGGAGGGUUAUGUCAGAGAAAAGUGGGUAAUUCUAUUGGUAGAUGGGACCCGACCUGCUUCUAGGCCUUAGUUUCCCCAAAACAGAAUGCAGGGUUGUCUGAAGUACUGCAUAGGGUCUGUAACACAGCGACGUGCUGCCCCCUGCCGACAGCAGGUGGGAAGCAGCACCGCCCAGGCGUCCUAGGAGACCUAGAAUCACAGAGGGCCUCCUACCCGUCAUUUGACCUUGCAGCUUGAAGAAGAUGGGUUAAAGCUUAGCUCCAAGACCCCCCACAUCUGUCUGUGGGAUACGGUGGGGACUUGCUUCUACCGGGAAGCUUCUCUCCGAAGGGCUAGGUUGGGAUUGGUAUGAAGAAGACAGAAGGCUCCAGAGCCAGGACAGUUUGAGGACCUGGUUAUCUGUGGGUUCAGCCAGGCUCCGCUAUCCUUGCCUGUGCUUCCUUGUCGUCGUCGUUGCCGCCACCACCACCACCACCACCAUCAUCAUUCCUAUACUCCAUGGUGUUUGUAGUGGCUAUUCCUGGUUGUCAACUUGACUAUAUCUGGAAUGGACUACAAUCCAAAAUCUGAAGGCUCACCCAUGAUCCUAGUCUGGAGGCUGAGAAAUACAAGUUUCUGACCAUGGAGAUCUUGAGGCAUAGUGGCUAUGAAAUCCAGAAGAUUAAGACAGGGAGACCUCUGAGUUCAAGGUCAUCUGGGAUUAAAGGGGUGGUGACACACGCCUUUAAUCUGGGCCUCACCUUCUGCUGGAGACCAUAUAAGGACAUUGGAAGAAGGAAGAUUCUCUCUCUCUCUCUCUCUCUCUCUCUCUCUCUCUCUCUCUCCUUGGCCUGCUUGCCUUCUGGGACUGAGCAACUGCUCUAUCCUUGGACUUCUAUUCACAGCUGCUGCUGACCAUUGUUGGGAGCUGGACUACAGACUGAACUCUGAGUCUACCACAUGAUGCCAAGCCUCAACUUCUCUCCACAGUCAAUUCAACCCUGGGGCUUUACUUCAGCUGAGGCAUUCAUGGAUGAGCAGGCUCCUGUGCUGUUUGGCAACUUGACAGAAGCUAGAGUCAUCUGGGAAGAGGGAACCUCAAUUGAGAAAAUGCCUCCACCACACCGGACUAAGUGGGCGAGAACAUCUACCUGCUGCUGCUGCUGCCGCCGCCACCACCACCAGCAUUGUUUGCUAUCAUCAGAGCCCAGCUUCUUUGGCCUUCCAAUGUGAGCUAAAGACCAGCAGCUCUCCAGAAAGUUCUCCAAGCUUGUGGCACCAGACUGGGCCUGCUGAGGCACCCAGCCUCCUGGGUUCCCAGCCUCUCUGGUUGCAGAUGGCUACACGUGGCCUACCCAGGCUCUGCCUUGUAAGUCACUCUAAUAAAUCCCUUUAGUAAUAUGCA